AGUGAACGCUGGCGGUAGGCCUAGCACAUGCAAGUCGAACGGCAGCACAGUAAGAGCUUGCUCUUACGGGUGGCGAGUGGCGGACGGGUGAGGAAUACAUCGGAAUCUACUUUUUCGUGGGGGAUAACGUAGGGAAACUUACGCUAAUACCGCAUACGACCUACGGGUGAAAGCAGGGGAUCUUCGGACCUUGCGCGAUUGAAUGAGCCGAUGUCGGAUUAGCUAGUUGGCGGGGUAAAGGCCCACCAAGGCGACGAUCCGUAGCUGGUCUGAGAGGAUGAUCAGCCACACUGGAACUGAGACACGGUCCAGACUCCUACGGGAGGCAGCAGUAGGGAAUAUUGGACAAUGGGCGCAAGCCUGAUCCAGCCAUACCGCGUGGGUGAAGAAGGCCUUCGGGUUGUAAAGCCCUUUUGUUGGGAAAGAAAAGCAGCAGGUUAAUACCCCGCUGUUCUGACGGUACCCAAAGAAUAAGCACCGGCUAACUUCGUG
rnacentral:rRNA from 1 species